rnacentral:rRNA from 1 species
GACGAACGCUGGCGGCGUGCUUAACACAUGCAAGUCGAACGGAAAGGCCCUGCUUUUGUGGGGUGCUCGAGUGGCGAACGGGUGAGUAACACGUGAGUAACCUGCCCUUGACUUUGGGAUAACUUCAGUAAACUGGGGCUAAUACCGGAUAGGAGCUCCUGCUGCAUGGUGGGUGUUGGAAAGUUUCGGCGGUUGGGGAUGGACUCGCGGCUUAUCAGCUUGUUGGUGGGGUAGUGGCUUACCAAGGCUUUGACGGGUAGCCGGCCUGAGAGGGUGACCGGCCACAUUGGGACUGAGAUACGGCCCAGACUCCUACGGGAGGCAGCAGUGGGGAAUAUUGCACAAUGGGCGGAAGCCUGAUGCAGCAACGCCGCGUGCGGGAUGACGGCCUGCGGGUUGUAAACCGCUUUCGCCUGUGACGAAGCGUGAGUGACGGUAAUGGGUAAAGAAGCACCGGCUAACUACGUG